GCUUUAUGCUUAUUACAGAUACUACACCUAAAGAUGCGAUAGUUAAUGACAAAAGAAAUUAUUUUUUCUCUUCUUCAAUAUCUCCAGUACUCUUUUAAACUAUAAAAUACCUACAUUAUGUUUAUGUGAUCUUUAUAUUAUAGACCAAAACAUUGUUAUAAAAGUUUAACUUUUACAAACACCAUGCACCAUAUUUUAUUACCUAAAUACCUAUAACACUAAGCAAAAACAUUAUCCAAAGGAUCCUCUGGGAUUACGUUCUGCUGAGCCCUAACUUGACGUUCAAGUUUGCUUUCUUGACGAUUAACAUAACGUUGAGCAGCUUGAUUACGAAUAGCAGCACGAACCAUCGUACUACUGACAAAAGUAUCGUUUUUAUAGAUGACAGGGCCACCAAAGGAGCCUUCGAGGAUAUUAAUGAUAGUCAUUACAAAGCGAGGACCAAUUUCAAUCAGAGUGACAGGGUCUUUCGACUUAUCCUCAUUUUCGCGUAUUUCGUAAUUUCUAAACCAAAUUUUUCCAUCCGCAAUAGUCAAUGUGCAUACCCGGUCUAUAAAGGGCUUGCUACGACGAGCGCCCUUGGGGAUACCGAAAGUUUGUUGCAACAGCUCUUUAACAACUUUAAGAUGAGGAGCCGUAUCAAAAGUUUUGUCAAACGAAAGAAUAGGUCUGGAACCUUUAAGAGCAUUUCCAGUCAUAUUUAACUCAUCCAUGGUGUGAAGAUUUUCAACAUGAAAUUUUACAGUUGGACCGUUUGGAGCUCGAGCAAUGUGAAGAUACAAGUCUUCUCUUCUCCUAGACUCAAAAAAGAAAAUAUUAUUACAGUUGUAGAGUUCGGCAAGCUCAUUUAAUUGAUAAAGACGAUCUUUCGAAUCUAGUUUGCUGUCCUUUUUUGAAUGAGGCAUCAUGCUGACCAAAUCAUUAAGCAAAUGUCGCUGACGAUAUGUGACACCCCUAGAGGAAAGAACUAGGACUUUUUGUUUAAUAGGAACAAAUCCGGCAGAAUGCUUAUUUCCUUGACCGUUUUGAACAGGAACGUAUUCCUCGUCCUCAUCCUCAUUCUUUGGAGCCCUUUCACUUGUUUUCAACUUAUACACUGUACUCAUUUUUUUUAAAUCGUUUUAUAAAAGCCUAAUAACAGUGUUCCAAAUAAAUCAAAACUUUUUCCGCGUAACUCUAGUAUAAGCCGGAACAAGGCUAAGAAACAAAUAAAUGCAACGUUUUUAUAUUUCGAUCUAUCAAAUCCUCAAUUACGGAAGGGCAAUUAGUAGCGACACAAGAGAUAUACGCUGCUGACAAGUUUUUCGUCGUAAUAAAAGAGCUUUUGAAGAGAAAAAAAUUACGGCGGAGCGUUGCAAUUCGUUAUAUAUAAUGUGCUAUGCAUAAACUCUACUUUUGCUAGGAAUUCUCCUUGCCCUUAUGUAAUAUUUUAUAUACUUUUAAAAAGAUUUACAUGAGGAUAUACCUGUUCUAUAAAGGAGCACAUGUUGAGUUUUAAUGGAAAUUUACCAAUCCAAUCUUUCACUUACAAAUUGAGAAAAUAAAAGGUGAAAUUGAUGAAGAUCCUAAUCUUUUUAUGAUUAGAAAGCUUAAAACACCUGACUGAGUAAGCUUCUUUUUGCAAGCAAUGCAUUAUUUUAAUGUCUAUUUACAUGUUUAGCAUACUUCCUUCCGUAUCAUCAAUAAAUAUCGUUAGACUUCUUUAUUAAGGAAUUGUUUUGAUUAAGUGUACACCGCACUUCAC